AACCUGGGCUACACACGUGCUACAAUGGUUGGUACAACGAGUUGCGAGUCGGUGACGGCGAGCUAAUCUCUUAAAGCCAAUCUCAGUUCGGAUUGUAGGCUGCAACUCGCCUACAUGAAGUCGGAAUCGCUAGUAAUCGCGGAUCAGCACGCCGCGGUGAAUACGUUCCCGGGCCUU
rnacentral:rRNA from 1 species